GCAAUUUAGCUGAGCAGGAGGGACAUUAAGAGUUAAAAACAACUCCUAAACCCAUGUGAAACCUACCUUUGUUGCCUCGGCAGGUCUGCAACUUACCCUGAGGGUACCUACCCUGUAGGUACCUUACCCGGUAGUUGCGGGCAUAACCUGCCGGUGGUCUACUAAACUCUGUUUACUAUGUCAUUCUGAAUAAUAUAACUAAAUAAGUUAAAACUUUCAACAACGGAUCUCUUGGUUCUGGCAUCGAUGAAGAACGCAGCGAAAUGCGAUAAGUAAUGUGAAUUGCAGAAUUCAGUGAAUCAUCGAAUCUUUGAACGCACAUUGCGCCCAUUAGUAUUCUAGUGGGCAUGCCUGUUCGAGCGUCAUUUCAACCCUUAAGCCCUGUUGCUUAGCGUUGGGAGCCUACAGAUACCCUCUGUAGUUCCUUAAAGUUAGUGGCGGAGUCGGUUUCACACUCUAGACGUAGUAAAUUUUAUCUCGCCUAUAGAUGAGCCGGUCCCUUGCCGUAAAACCCCCUAAUUUCUAAAGGUUGACCUCGGAUCAGGUAGGAAUACCCGCUGAACAUAAGCAUAUCAAUAAGCGGGAGGAAAAAU
rnacentral:rRNA from 1 species